GACGAGCGCUGGCGGCGUGCCUAAUACAUGCAAGUAGAACGCUGAAGAGAGGAGCUUGCUCUUCUUGGAUGAGUUGCGAACGGGUGAGUAACGCGUAGGUAACCUGCCUUGUAGCGGGGGAUAACUAUUGGAAACGAUAGCUAAUACCGCAUAACAAUGGAUGACACAUGUCAUUUAUUUGAAAGGGGCAAUUGCUCCACUACAAGAUGGACCUGCGUUGUAUUAGCUAGUAGGUGAGGUAACGGCUCACCUAGGCGACGAUACAUAGCCGACCUGAGAGGGUGAUCGGCCACACUGGGACUGAGACGCGGCCCAGACUCCUACGGGAGGCAGCAGUAGGGAAUCUUCGGCAAUGGGGGCAACCCUGACCGAGCAACGCCGCGUGAGUGAAGAAGGUUUUCGGAUCGUAAAGCUCUGUUGUAAGUCAAGAACGAGUGUGAGAGUGGAAAGUUCACACUGUGACGGUAGCUUACCAGAAAGGGACGGCUAACUACGUG
rnacentral:rRNA from 1 species